UAACAUUCUCUGUUUCCAUUUGUUUUGUAUGAUGCAUGUUUUGAUUUUUGUUGAUAAUGAAAUAAAAUUUUAUGAAAUGAAGGGCGAAAAGUUCACCCUGUGCCAAGAUCGAACUUCCCAUCAGAUUCAUAGUUGCAUUAAUUAUAGCUUCCUUGUUUGUAGACUUUGUGGAUUCAACACCACCCAUGUACAAGAAGUAUAUCAAAAAGAAGUAAAUCCAUAUAGAAAAUGUGAGCUUCUACAAAUAACACCCAAUGUCUAUACGAAUAGGAACCUUGUGGGUGCACCAAAAAGAGAUCAGAUUUCAACACCCAUGUACAAGAAGUAUAUCAAAAAGAAGUAAAUCCAUAUAGAAAAUGUGAGCUUCUACAAACAACAGCCAAUGUCUAUAAAAAUUGGAACCUUGUGGGUGCACCAAAAAGAGAUCAGAUUUCAACACCCAUGUACAAGAAGUAUAUCAAAAAGUAGAAAAUCCAUAUAGAAAAUGUGAGCUUCUACAAACAACACCCAAUGUUCUUUACAAAUAGGAACCCGGGUGCACCAAAAAGAAAUCAGAUAAGAGGCUAUUUUUCAAUUAUACCACGCCCUUCUAUAUCCCGUCAUUCCCAUCAAAAGCUUCCCUAUUUUUCUCUUUCCGUACAAUCUACAUAAGCGCUAGUGGAGCAACAUCUAAAGCCCUACAUCUUCUCUCUUGUCUUGUACGGAUCCAACAAAGCAAUGCUUCUUUAACCGUUCCUGACAUCACCUCACCAAUUCAAGUCCAGACCAUCUCAAUAUUUUCCAGCAUGAUGCAUGUUUUGAUGCAUUAAGGCUUAAGCUUUGUCAAUGUUUCCAAUUUGUACUACAUACUGUUUAAAUCUGCAACUCAUAGAUCAUUUGAUAAUCAUUGCUGUCAGAUAACCUUUCUACCAUUUGACACAACAUGUAUGUUGUUUUGAUAGUGUAAUGAAAUAUCUUGUUCUCUUUGUAGCCCUAAUCCACUAUAAUACAACUACAUACCCAGAAAUCUCUUGUUUAAUAUGGUAGAUUAUUGUAGUCUUGAUAAUGGAAGUCUGCUACUCAAAUGGUUGUGGAGGUAUAGCAAGGAAAGCAAGGAAGUGUGGAAAAUGCUUAUUAAUGCCCAUAUAUGGGAAGAAGGAUAUAUGGAGAACUGUUAAUGGGGAGUAUGGAAUGGCAUAAGAAGACUUUUGGAAGACAUCUUUCAAUUUACUAGACUGGCAAAUGGAGAAAACAUUAGAUUCUGGACAGAUUAGUGGGUUGGUGAAAAAUGUUUAAAACACAAUUUUCUACUUUGUUUAACUUCUCUACUAAAAAGGAUGGUAAUAUUGCUGAAUUUCAUUCUAACUCUGGUUGACAGCCAUGGUUCCGGAGAAAUUUGAAAAUGAUUGUGAGAUAGAAGAAUUUUGUCAGUUGCUUCAGCAAUUGGGAUCAGUUUAUAUUAAUCAGAAUAAGGUGGAUACCUGACCUGUCUGGCAAGUAAAGACGAGAAAUUCUCAGUCAAGAAUUGCAAUAGUAUGUUGAUAAAGCAGCCAGGUCAGUGGGAUAGUUCUUGACCUUGGAAGAUGGUAUGGAAGACACAAGUUUAGAUUAGGAUAUUUUCGAUGGAUUGCAACUUGGGGGGGGGGGGAUGCUUAACUUAAAAUAACUUGUAGAAAAGAGGUUUUGACCUAUGUAGUAGAUGCUUCCUGCAUGAAGAAGAUCAGGAAACAGUUGAGCACCUUUUUCUCCAUUGCAGAUUUUCUAGAGAAUGUUGGGAGUUAUUCCUAAAUCUCCGUGGUAUUAAUUCGGUGACGCCUCAGACUGAAAAUUUUGCUGGAUGUCUGGCAGCAGCAGGUGAUACCAAUAGAGAUAAAGCAGUUAUGGAGAACUGGAACUAUUCCAUUGUGCAUCUUAUGGACAAUAUUGCUUGAGAGAAACACAGUGUUAUCAAAGGCGAAAAGCGCAAAAAAGCUCUAAGGUCUGUGGGGGCUUUAGGCGCAAAGCGCAAAUAAAGCGUAGGCUUUAACGAAACAAGGCGCAAAGGGAGAAAAGAACAAAAUAUAUAUGUUUAGUCCAAGACUAAUAAUUAUAAACAUGAAUGACAAAUAUAUGACCAACGAAAUUGAAUAAAAUUAUGAUAGAGUGAAAUAUCAAUUGUUUAGCUUCAAAUUCUUCAUAAGAGGCUCAUUAGCAAGGAAAUGCUUGCCUUGGAGCCUUAAUGACAACACUAAAGCGCACAUAAAGCGAGACGAAGCGCUCAACACGUUUUGAGCCUCACUUUAGGGCUUAAGGAACAAAGCUUGCUUUGUAGGGCAGAGAAUACAUUUCUAAAAUUAUGGAUAAACAUUUACUAAAUUUGUACUUCUGCUGUGAAAAAGCUUAAUAGAUGGUUUGAAAUCAGUAUGGGUUUCUUGUAUAUGAUAGGAAGAGGAGUGUAGUAGGCUUCUUUUUGUUUUAUGCUGUUUUCGUUUCUUUUCCUAUACCAUCUUGGUACCAUUUAAUAGAUUCUCUACCUUAACCAUAAACAGAAAUAAGUAAUGAAACAGGUCAUUUGACUUAAUUCCCGUGCAACCUUUUUGUUAGGAAUCCUUUUAGUGAGAUAUCUGUCUUUUGUGCACUGAUCUAACCAAGUGUUUUUUAGAUUUGCCUUGGUGUUCUUGGGCUUUUCCUCGGGUGCUGAAUUUGUGCUUUAUAAGGUCUUGGGAAGAUUGAUAAACUAGCGUUCUAUGAUAUUUUUCUCAUUUCUUGGAUAAGUAAAUGCUUUACUUUCUCUCUUUUUAAUUUGAUGACACAGAAAUUUAGAUAUUGUUGUAUUACUUAAUUGAUGUUAAUUCUACUUGUUUUGGGUCCCUGCAGCUUUACAGCAAUUUCGUUUUACCUCUUUCUGUUUAUUUUUCUUGCAUUGAAGGCCUAUAUACUUGACAAAUGAUAAGUGUGAAAAGGAUUCACUUAAUAAUGGUAGUGGCUAUAGAUCAAGCAUGCCGGGAAGUCUUUCCGAGUGAAAAUUAUGAUGCACUCUUUCCCAAGGAAGAUGCAAAUAUGUACUUGUUAUGCAAAAAUAUCAUCAAACCUUGCAGAAUACCACAAACUUGUUCUUGCAGUUACUUUGAAAAGUCCUGUUUCCUGAUCUUUUAAAAAAUAGCUGGAGCACUUUAAUUUUCCACCCAUUUCAUUGCGUUUUUGAUGAACAAGGGCUGUUGUUUUGAAGUUCUGUCAGGAAAUUAUAGUCUUCCAGAGAUAACUAGUAUGUAGGCCCACAGCAUCAAUCACUUAACCUUAAUGAAAUUGACAUCAUUAGCCUAUAUCUCAAUCGUCAUGCAAAGUAACACAGAAGGAUGCUAAGUUAGGGACAAAAAAGAUAAUGUUUUCAUUUAUUGCUCUUCCUUUGGUGGCAGUAGGCGUGAGUGGUUUGACUGUGUAGUUCCUGCUUACUAGCUGGCUAACACAGUGAGUGUUGAAAAAUUUCCCCUAAUCAUCUUCCUUUCAUGGUUUGACAGCCUGCUCUUUCUUUUGAUGAAGUAAGUAGUUAUCAUUGAAAAACAUCAGGAAGAGGCUACGAGAGCAAAAAGUUAGUGAAGAUGGUUAGCUCCAUUACAGUAAAGUCUAAACUAAAACCAGGGAGCUAACAAAGUUCAAAAAACUGUCCAUACUAUUUACAGGGGAGCUAUAUUACCAACUAAAUAAAAGGACUAAACAUCUAAACUUAAAGAGAGUGAAUUAGUGUUGAAAUCCCAUCAAAACAUUUGUUAUUUCCUUCUUUCCAGAUGCACCAAAAAAUUGGUGCUGAACUCAAUCACCAGAUCUUCUUGAUUGAUUUGUCAACUCUCCAAAAAUUCCAGCUUGUCAAAGUAUCCUUGAUAGUGUGUGGUGUGACCCAUUGCAGACCAAAAAUAGGCAGAAAAAAUUUCCAGAUAUUCUGUUGCAAAUGGGCAACGUAGUAGGAGAUGACUGAUACUCUCCGAGUCCUGUAGCCACAUAUAACAUCUGUUGACUAUGACAAUGUUUUUUCAUUUGAGAUUGUCCAGGGUAGGAGUUACUCCAUUUAGGACAAUCCAGGUGAGGCAGGUGACCUUUUGUGGAAACAAUCGACAUGACUCUACAUCAUUUUCUUAGAGCGUUGAUUCUCCAUUAGAGAUGGUGGUGUCCGGGCCAAUUUGUACGCAUCUCGACUAUUCUACUAGGUGCUUGCUAUCUCCCACCAGCGCAUGUAGAGGAUAACUCUGCCAUCAAAGCUUAAAUGGAUGAGAAGAAAUCACCUAAUGUUAUUUUGCUAGGCUUCUUACAUAAAUGUACCAUCAACCAAUUCUUUUUUCCGACUAAAUAGCCACAUGUAUGUGUAAUGUAUCAAUAUUGUAUAAAUAGUGUAUAACCAUGCGUAUAUGAUAUAUAGCUAUGUAUAAGAGAUCAUAAAGGGAUUGGCGAAGUCAA